rnacentral:rRNA from 1 species
GACGAACCGAGCGAACGUUGUUCGGAAUCACUGGGCUUAAAGGGCGCGUAGGCGGGCUGCCAAGUUUGGGGUGAAAUCCUCCGGCUCAACCGGGGAAGUGCCUCGAAUACUGGCGGUCUCGAGGGAGGUAGGGGCGUGCGGAACUGUAGGUGGAGCGGUGAAAUGCGUUGAUAUCUACAGGAACUCCGGUGGUGAAGGCGGCACGCUGGACCUUUUCUGACGCUGAGGCGCGAAAGCCAGGGGAGCGAACGGG